rnacentral:rRNA from 1 species
AACGAACGCUGGCGGCAUGCCUAACACAUGCAAGUCGAAUGAGACCUUCGGGUCUAGUGGCGCACGGGUGCGUAACACGUGGGAAUCUGCCCUUUGCUUCGGAAUAACAGUUAGAAAUGACUGCUAAUACCGGAUGAUGUCGAAAGACCAAAGAUUUAUCGGCAAAGGAUGAGCCCGCGUAGGAUUAGGUAGUUGGUGGGGUAAAGGCCUACCAAGCCGACGAUCCUUAGCUGGUCUGAGAGGAUGAUCAGCCACACUGGGACUGAGACACGGCCCAGACUCCUACGGGAGGCAGCAGUGGGGAAUAUUGGACAAUGGGCGAAAGCCUGAUCCAGCAAUGCCGCGUGAGUGAUGAAGGCCUUAGGGUUGUAAAGCUCUUUUACCAGGGAUGAUAAUGACAGUACCUGGAGAAUAAGCUCCGGCUAACUCCGUG